CAAAACUGUGUGUUAAAAAAUAACUCAUCACUAAACCUGCUGAACAAGUGUAAGUUUGAGAAUGUAUUUAAGGAGGCUGAACUAAGGCUCCUGCGCUCAGAUGUGAGAAAAGUGCAAAGAAACAUUCCAGCCAUCCCAAUGAACCUCUUCAUAAAUCAGAAAACAAAAGGAUGACUUUAACAAAGGCAGCAUGUUUUGCUGUGGUUCUUCUGUUUUUAUGCUACCAACUACAGAAUCAGGACUACUGGCAGUCUGUAACUUCCUUCUUUGAGGACCAGUUGAAUUCAAACAAAGAGCGCCAUAAUGAAAGAGCAAGAAGAGAAGCCUCUGUAAAAGCCACAGAGUUUACAUUUGAAAUGACUAUAGGCUACUCUGACAUGAACACACUCCAAGAGUUCCUAAAAAGUCUCAACCUAAGUUUAGUUAACAGUUCAAGUGAAAUAAUCAGCAGUGAAACAACAACAGAGUGUACAUCUGACCUGACUCAGUACCAGUGCUCAUGUCAGGAAAACUAUGCCUGGUCCAAUAACACGUGUAUGACCUAUGGAGCCUGUAAUGGAUCCUACACAGGAGACACAUGUGGAUGCAUUAAAGGUCGCCCCAAAUAUAAUGAAUCCUGCCAGCUAAAGUUCAGUUCAACAGGUAGGCCAAGAGGCUUUCACAGAGCACAUAUAUGAGUGCAUAUGUUACAUACAUUUUUAUUUCUACAGGUAAAUGUAUACCUCUAACUGUAGUAAUAGUUUUAAUAGUAGUAUCAACAGUCAUAGGCAGAAGUCAGGGUUUUGUCACAACUGCCCUCAUAGCUAGAUACAGGCAGGCAACAACACUCUGCAGGCCAAAAAUCGACAAACCUGUAAUGUUAAAACCAGCUUCAUCAAUUAGCAGGCAAAGUUUGGAAAUUUCAGAAAAAUGACAAAGUACUGUCUGACCACUGCCACACAAAAUCGUCAGUAACUCCAUUGAAAAAUAUUGUCAUGCAUAAAGCACCAAUGUACUCUUUCUAAACAAACUGAGUUUUUCCAUUUCACUGCCAACAGCACCAACAACAACGA
rnacentral:lncRNA from 1 species